rnacentral:lncRNA from 1 species
AUGAACAUGGAAGUGGGUAAAAGCGUGGUUUGGAUACCAUGGGCAGUAAGAAGGACUCUCAUCGUUUCUACCAAAAGCCCCUGUCAAGCCUCUACUCUGCUAUGUGUUUGCCAAAAUUUACCUUCAGCUCAAAACUACUCUGAACUCAGUGGGUAUCUGUCACAGUCAUCUUAAGUAUCCAUCUCCUAUCUAAAAGACUUAAGCUCAGAAA